rnacentral:rRNA from 1 species
AUUGAACGCUGGCGGCAGGCCUAACACAUGCAAGUCGAACGAGUGGCGGACGGGUGAGUAAUGUCUGGGAAACUGCCUGAUGGAGGGGGAUAACUACUGGAAACGGUAGCUAAUACCGCAUACCAUCGGAUGUGCCCAGAUGGGAUUAGCUAGUAGGUGGGGUAAAGGCUAACCUAGGCGACGAUCCCUAGAUGGUCUGAGAGGAUGACCAGCCACGCUGGAAAUGAGACACGGUCCCGACUCCUACGAGAGGCAGCAGUGGAGAAUAUUGCACAAUGGGCGCGAGCCUGAUGCAGCCAUGCCGAGUGUAUGAAGAAGGCCUUCGGGUUGUAAAGUACUUUCAGCGGGGAGGCGUUACGCGCAGAAGAAACACCGGCUAACUCCGUGCCAGCAGCCGCGGUGAUUC